rnacentral:rRNA from 1 species
UACGAAGGGGGCUAGCGUUGCUCGGAAUCACUGGGCGUAAAGCGCACGUAGGCGGCUUUUUAAGUCAGGGUGAAAUCCUGGAGCUCAACUCCAGAACUGCCUUUGAUACUGAGAAGCUUGAGUCCGGGAGAGGUGAGUGGAACUGCGAGUGUAGAGGUGAAAUUCGUAGAUAUUCGCAAGAACACCAGUGGCGAAGGCGGCUCACUGGCCCGGUACUGACGCUGAGGUGCGAAAGCGUGGGGAGCAAACAGG